CCGACGGUGAGGGACGAAAGCUGGGGGAGCAAACCGGAUUAGAUACCCGGGUAGUCCCAGCCGUAAACGAUGUGCGUUAGGUGUAUCGGUGACCACGAGUCACCGAGGUGCCGAAGAGAAAUCGUGAAACGUACCGCCUGGGAAGUACGGUCGCAAGGCUGAAACUUAAAGGAAUUGGCGGGGGAGCACCACAACAGGUGGAGCCUGCGGUUUAAUCGGACUCAACGCCGGGAAACUCAUCAGAUAAGACAGCUGAAUGAUAGUCGGGCUGAAGACUCUACUUGACUAGCUGAGAGGAGGUGCAUGGCCGUCGUCAGUUCGUACUGUGAAGCAUCCUGUUAAGUC
rnacentral:rRNA from 1 species